rnacentral:lncRNA from 1 species
CUCUUUCCCUCUUUCUGGGUCUCCAUGGAACAGACAGCUGAGACAAGCCUGCUAGCCUCAUUGCCUUUGCACAAGCUCUUCCCUCUGCCUGGAACACUUGUUGCUUCAGGAGUCGGCUCGAUGUAACUUCUACAGGGACCUGAGCCCCAAUCCAAGUUAGACACCUGGUUAUUGCAGCAGCCUGUAUCUCACCGUCCCAGAAUGAAUCAUGACUGCAAUGAAAACGAUGGCAUGAGCAUUUGUUACCAUCAGGCUUCCGCCCUAGAUUAUGAGCUCCCUGAGGACAAGCAGAGGGUUCAUCUCUCUUUAUAGCUAGAACCCAGCACAGCGCCUGGCACUCAGGAGGCACCCAAUUACUUUGGCUGACUGGAUAGACAUACAUACAGACGGACGGAUAAAUGGCUGGAAGAGGAGUGAUUGAAAAAAUACAUUUUAAAAUGC